AGAUUGAACGCUGGCGGCAGGCCUAACACAUGCAAGUCGAGCGGUAGAGAGGUGCUUGCAUCUCUUGAGAGCGGCGGACGGGUGAGUAAUGCCUAGGAAUCUGCCUAGUGGUGGGGGAUAACGUUCGGAAACGGACGCUAAUACCGCAUACGUCCUACGGGAGAAAGCGGGGGACCUUCGGGCCUCGCGCCAUUAGAUGAGCCUAGGUCGGAUUAGCUAGUUGGUGAGGUGAUGGCUCACCAAGGCGACGAUCCGUAACUGGUCUGAGAGGAUGAUCAGUCACACUGGAACUGAGACACGGUCCAGACUCCGUACGGGAGGCAGCGAGGUGGGGAAUAGUUGGACAAGUGGGACGAAAGCCUGACUCCAGCCAGUGCCGCGUGUGUAGAAGAGGUCUUCGAUUGAAGCUAGUUUAAGGUUGGAGGUAAGGUUAGUAACCUAAGUACGUUAGACUAAC
rnacentral:rRNA from 1 species